rnacentral:rRNA from 1 species
GAUGAACGCUGGCGGCGUGCCUAAUACAUGCCAGUCGAGCGAACAGAUGAGGAGCUUGCUCCUCUGACGUUAGCGGCGGACGGGUGAGUAACACGUGGAUAACCUACCUAUAAGACUGGGAUAACUUCGGGAAACCGGAGCUAAUACCGGAUAAUAUAUUGAACCGCAUGGUUCAAUAGUGAAAGACGGUUUUGCUGUCACUUAUAGAUGGAUCCGCGCCGCAUUAGCUAGUUGGUAAGGUAACGGCUUACCAAGGCAACGAUGCGUAGCCGACCUGAGAGGGUGAUCGGCCACACUGGAACUGAGACACGGUCCAGACUCCUACGGGAGGCAGCAGUAGGGAAUCUUCCGCAAUGGGCGAAAGCCUGACGGAGCAACGCCGCGUGAGUGAUGAAGGUCUUCGGAUCGUAAAACUCUGUUAUUAGGGAAGAACAAAUGUGUAAGUAACUAUGCACGUCUUGACGGUACCUAAUCAGAAAGCCUCGGCUAACUACGUG